GUCUAUAUGAAGGUAUAUAUAGUUUGGCCUGCUCACUGAUUAUAUUAAAGAGCCGCAGUAUUUUGACUGUGCGAAGGUAGCAUAAUAAAUUGUCUUUUAAAUGGAGGCUUGAAUGAAAGGUUGGACAAAGUAUCAUCUGUUUCUUAAAUAUUUAUUGAAUUUGACUUUCAAGUGAAAAGGCUUGAAUAAAUUAAAAAGACGAUAAGACCCUAUAAAUCUUUACAAUAAACAUAUUUUAUAUUUUUAUUUAUUAAGUGAAUGAGAUAUUAAAUUUGUAGUUGUUUCGCUGGGGCGGCGUAGAUAUAUAAAUGAACUGUCUAUAAUUUUAAAUACAAUAAUUAUUGAUUAAUGAAAUUGAUCCUUAAAUAGAUUAAAAGAUUAAGAUACUUUAGGGAUAACAGCGUUAUUUUUUCUGAGAGUUCUUAUCGAAGAAAAAGUUUGCGACCUCGAUGUUGAAUUAAAGUAUCUUUAUGGUGCAGUCGCUAUAAGAGAGAGUCUGUUCGACUUUUAAUACUUUACAUGAUUUGAGUUCAGACCGGCGUGAG
rnacentral:rRNA from 1 species